rnacentral:rRNA from 1 species
UACGGGGGGAGCAAGCGUUGUUCGGAUUUACUGGGCGUAAAGGGCGCGUAGGCGGUAGCACAAGUCAGUUGUGAAAUCUCCGGGCUUAACUCGGAAAGGUCAACUGAUACUGUGCGACUAGAGUGCAGAAGGGGCAACUGGAAUUCUCGGUGUAGCGGUGAAAUGCGUAGAUAUCGAGAGGAACACCUGCGGCGAAGGCGGGUUGCUGGGCUGACACUGACGCUGAGGCGCGAAAGCGUGGGGAGCAAACAGG